AGAGCACUGGGUGUGGUCGAGUGA
rnacentral:siRNA from 1 species